UACGAAGGGGGCUAGCGUUGCUCGGAAUCACUGGGCGUAAAGGGUGCGUAGGCGGGUUUUUAAGUCAGGGGUGAAAUCCCGGGGCUCAACCCCCGGAACUGCCUUUGAUACUGGGUAUCUCGAGUCCGGAAGAGGUGAGUGGAAUUCCGAGUGUAGAGGUGAAAUUCGUAGAUAUUCGGAGGAACACCAGUGGCGAAGGCGGCUCACUGGUCCGGUACUGACGCUGAGGUGCGAAAGCGUGGGGAGCAAACGGG
rnacentral:rRNA from 1 species